rnacentral:rRNA from 1 species
CCUGGUAGUCCACGCCGUAAACGGUGGGCACUAGGUGUGGGGACUUUUCAACGGUUUCCGCGCCGCAGCUAACGCAUUAAGUGCCCCGCCUGGGGAGUACGGUCGCAAGACUAAAACUCAAAGAAAUUGACGGGGGCCCGCACAAGCAGCGGAGCAUGUGGCUUAAUUCGAUGCAACGCGAAAAACCUUACCUAGAUUUGACAUGCUGGGAAAAGCCACAGAGAUGUGGUGUCCUUCGGGGCCCAGCACAGGUGGUGCAUGGCUGUCGUCAGCUCGUGUCGUGAGAUGUUGGGUUAAGUCCCGCAACGAGCGCAACCCUUGUUCUAUGUUGCCAGCACGUAAUGGUGGGGACUCGUAGAAGACUGCCGGGGUCAACUCGGAGGAAGGUGGGGACGACGUCAAGUCAUCAUGCCCCUUACGUCUAGGGCUGCACACAUGCUACAAUGGGCGGUACAGAGGGCUGCUAAACCGCGAGGUGGAGCCAAUCCCUAAAACCGCUCUCAGUUCAGAUUGCAGGCUGCAACUCGCCUGCAUGAAGUUGGAGUUGCUAGUAAUCCCGGAUCAGCACUGCCGGGGUGAAUACGUUCCCGGGCCUUGUACACACCGCCCGUCAAACCACGAAAGUUGGCAACACCCGAAGCCGGUGGCCU